AGCCUAGUAGUUAAGGCUAUGGAUCGCCAAUCCGGAGACGGCGGGUUCGAUUCCCGU
rnacentral:tRNA from 1 species